UACAGGGGGUGCGAGCGUUGUCCGGAAUCACUGGGCGUAAAGGGCGCGUAGGUGGCUUGGCAAGCGCGUGGUGAAAGCCCGGGGCUCAACCCCGGGUCUGCCGUGCGAACUGCUAUGGCUUGAGCACUGUAGAGGCAGGUAGAAUUCCGGGUGUAGCGGUGGAAUGCGUAGAGAUCCGGAAGAAUACCGGUGGCGAAGGCGGCCUGCUGGGCAGUGGCUGACACUGAGGCGCGACAGCGUGGGGAGCAAACAGG
rnacentral:rRNA from 1 species